UACAGUCCUCAUCGCUUACCAUGCCGUAACUAGGGUUCGUCUUCUUCUUCUUCUAACACUUGGUAUCUAAAUUUUUUUUCUCUGUUAUCUGUCAGCAUCAAUGGCGUCUCGAGUAAUUGGAUUACUGAAAUCGAGUUGCAGAAUCUCUUUGUUUGUCUCCAAUCGCGUCUUAUAGCCUUCUCUUCUAAUAAUUCGAAACGUUCUGAGUUAUUCAUCGCAUUUAUCACCUUAUUAACUCCAUAGGCAACAUAAACCACUAUCUGACUUUAAUUGUGAGUUAUACCUCUGAACUACACCUAUAAAAAUCCUGGCCGAGGCUCCUCCACCGUCCAAGUGCUGUUGCUCAGAUUCUGGAAAACCAGAAAUGUUCGAGUGGGGGGGGGGGGGGGGGGGUGGGGAACUGAUGUCUCUUGAUAUGCUCUUACUGGAUUCAAAGGUAAUUAUGUUCUUAAACUCAUGUUCAGAUUGCUUUAUGUUCACAAAACUCAUGUUCAAAGUUUUCUUAAAGCGAUGUAAGAAAUGUUCUUAGGCUUAUGUUCAUAGUCUUCUUAUGUUAUUAAACCCAUGUUCACAGUGUUCUCGGUACAUCUGCAGAGAACUCUCGAAUUAUUUCUUAAAUCUCUCAAAGACGUUUAAUCUCAAGGUAAGACACCUAUAGAGUCAACGAAAAUGGGUAGAUAAACUACAUAAAAGGAUACAAAGAUUCAACCUUUCUGGAUUUCUAGAGUUGUCGAAC